ACAUGCCUACAGCAUAGCAUUAAUGCACCAGAUCCCAUUAGAACUAUGUAGUUAAGCGUGCUCAGGCUAGAGUAGUACUGAGAUGAGUGACCGCCCAGGAAGUCCUAGUAUUUUACAUGCC
rfam:Picea glauca, whole genome shotgun sequence.